rnacentral:rRNA from 1 species
AGGACUAACGCUGGCGGCGUGCCUAACACAUGCAAGUCGAACGAGGUAGCAAUACCUAGUGGCAGACGGGUGAGUAACGCGUGGUCAACCUACCUCUUAGUGGGGGAUAACUAGCCGAAAGGUUAGCUAAUACCGCAUACGAUCGUCGCGAGGCAUCUCGUGACGAUGAAAGGAGCAAUUCGCUAAGAGAGGGGACUGCGUCCCAUUAGUUAGUUGGCGGGGUAAUGGCCCACCAAGACGAUGAUCUGUAUCCGGCCUGAGAGGGGCGCGACGGAACGACGACUGGAACUGAAACACGGUCCAGACUCCUACGGGAGGCAGCAGUGGGGAAUUUUGCGCAAUGGGGGAAACCCUGACGCAGCAACGCCGCGUGGAGGAUGAAGCCCCUUGGGGUGUAAACUCCUUUCGAUCGGGAAGAUAAUGACGGUACCGAUAUAAGAAGCCCCGGCUAACUCGUGCCAGCAGCCGC